AUGGGCACGAAUCUCGACCGCGACUUGCGGGAGCGCAAGAAAGCCAUUCUCAAGUCCAUCCAGGCCCUUGACCUUCAGGCUGGCUCGGUUGGACUGGCCCCCAACAAGUGGUUGCUGCGGUAUGACCUUGAGGAUCAGCUCACGGUCAUUUACACGGACGAGGCAUAUUGGCAUCUUCGUGGGGCACAAAAGUGGGUCCUUAAGGGUGACGCCAAUACGGCUUACUUCCAAGCCAUCGCCAAUGGCCGUAGGCGGCGGAACACUAUCCCUUUGCUCUGGGAUGGGGUGACCCUCCUGCAACAUCCGGCAGACAUCCGGGCCCAUGUGGACGGCUUCUAUAAAGCCCUCUUCUCCUCCCCUCGGGGAGACCUAGCUUUAGCGGCAAAUUUCUGGAGUGGCCACCAGUGCGUCUCUGCCGCGGAGAACGCUGCCCUCACGGCACCAUUCUUUAAGGAGGAGGUCUGGACUACUAUUAAAGGCAUGAACCCAGCAUCCGCCCUGGGCCCCGAUGGACUCCCGGUUAAAUUCUUCCAGACAUUCUGGACUGUGAUCAAACGCGAGGUGAUGGCCCUCUUUGAGGAGUUCUAUGUAGGCGCCAUCGACCUUCACCGCCUCAACUACUGGAUCAUCACCUUGAUCCCCAAGGUCCUCAAAGCCUUCGACAUCCGGCAGUUCCUCCCGAUCACAGUG
rnacentral:rRNA from 1 species